rnacentral:rRNA from 1 species
UACGUAGGGUGCAAGCGUUGUCCGGAAUUAUUGGGCGUAAAGAGCUUGUAGGCGGUUUGUCGCGUCUGCUGUGAAAUUUCGGGGCUCAACCCCGAACUUGCAGUGGGUACGGGCAGACUAGAGUGUGGUAGGGGAGACUGGAAUUCCUGGUGUAGCGGUGAAAUUCGUAGAUAUUCGGAAGAACACCGAUGGCGAAGGCAGCUCGCUGGGACGGUACUGACGCUGAGACGCGAAAGCGUGGGGAGCAAACAGG